GACGAACGCUGGCGGCGUGCUUAACACAUGCAAGUCGAACGGAAAGGCCCUGCUUUUGUGGGGUGCUCGAGUGGCGAACGGGUGAGUAACACGUGAGUAACCUGCCCUUGACUUUGGGAUAACUUCAGGAAACUGGGGCUAAUACCGGAUAGGAGCUCCUGCUGCAUGGUGGGGGUUGGAAAGUUUCGGCGGUUGGGGAUGGACUCGCGGCUUAUCAGCUUGUUGGUGGGGUAGUGGCUUACCAAGGCUUUGACGGGUAGCCGGCCUGAGAGGGUGACCGGCCACAUUAGGACUGAGAUACGGCCCAGACUCCUACGGGAGGCAGCAGUGGGGAAUAUUGCACAAUGGGCGGAAGCCUGAUGCAGCAACGCCGCGUGCGGGAUGACGGCCUUCGGGUUGUAAACCGCUUUCGCCUGUGACGAAGCGUGAGUGACGGUAAUGGGUAAAGAAGCACCGGCUAACUACGU
rnacentral:rRNA from 1 species